CGCGGCCUAUCAGCUUGUUGGUGGGGUAACGGCCUACCAAGGCAACGACGGGUAGCUGGUCUGAGAGGACGAUCAGCCACACUGGCACUGAGAUACGGGCCAGACUCCUACGGGAGGCAGCAGGAGGGAAUAUUGCGCAAUGGGCGAAAGCCUGACGCAGCGACGCCGCGUGGGGGAAGAAGGCCUUCGGGUCGUAAACCCCUUUCAGCAGGGACGAAAUUGACGGUACCUGCAGAAGAAGCGCCGGCCAACUACGUGCCAGCAGCCGCGGUAAUACGUAGGGCGCAAGCGUUGUCCGGAUUCAUUGGGCGUAAAGGGCUCGUAGGCGGUUUGGUAAGUCGGGUGUGAAAACUCAGGGCUCAACUCUGAGACGCCACUCGAUACUGCCAUGACUAGAGUCCGGUAGGGGAGUGUAGAAUUCCUGGUGUAGCGGUGAAAUGCGCAGAUAUCAGGAGGAAUACCGAUAGCGAAGGCAGCACUCUGGGCCGGUACUGACGCUGAGGAGCGAAAGCGUGGGGAGCAAACAGGAUUAGAUACCCUGGUAGUCCACGCCGUAAACGUUGGGCACUAGGUGUGGGUCCCAUCCAACGGGAUCCGUGCCGUAGCUAACGCAUUAAGUGCCCCGCCUGGGGAGUACGG
rnacentral:rRNA from 1 species